CACUCAGAUAGGGGCCGGGCAAAGCUGGGGGAUUCAGGAAAGCCCUCCUUCCCGGAGACAAAGGAGCUGCUCCCGUAAAGAAGCCAUGUGAACGGCAGUGGCGGCGCAGCCCGCAGGGAAGCUGGGCUCCCGGAGGCAGGUCCGGCUCUCAGCUGUAAGAGCUGCAUCUGUCAAGCCCAGGAAGAGAGACCCAGAGUCCGAUGUGAUGUGCCUUCAGCAUCUUCACUGGAAUUAUGGAUGGGGAGGAGACAGAAGAGUGCUGAAGAACUGGCUGAAGAUUGUUUAUUCUCUCCUGGUCCCUUUUCCUAUCCUCGAAGAGGGAAGAAGUGAGAUGAUCCAGGUAAUCAGUGGAUCUAGAGUCAAGCCAAAGGAGGACAGAGGAGGGCAAAUUCUACCUAAAUCGUCAUAUCCGACGUCCCAGGUCUAGCCCGGCACAAUGGGUUACUCACAAGUCUGCCUGAAGUUAGACCGGGACCCAAUCUGUCCUGACAAUGGACCGCAACUCCAGGCACUAGCCAAGGUCACAACAGCGUCUACACAGAGGUCCACCCCCAAGGGAGCCUGAGGACGGCAUCUUCCUGUUGACCUGCCUGUUCCUCCCCUCUCAGCCUCCUCCAGGAAACUGUCCAGAGAACUCUAGAGCCUGUGCUCCAAGGAUGCACACUCUCUGUGGUCAAGAAGUACGAGGAAACCAGCAGCAUGCAAUGAAAGGAGAGGCAGUGGGCUAGCACGUCCCACCAGAUCCUUCUGGAAAUUUGGAGGGAGAUAUUCUCUCUGCUUUCCUCCAAUUUCCCAGUGAGUGAGUUAAUUCCUGGUGCUACCCCUCCAGCUCAACCCCCCACUUUUCCUCUCUAGAAUGCAGGCUCUCUCUCUAUGCCUGUAAUCCUGACCCCAGGCCACCAUCCUCGUGUGUGUCCAGUACCAGCUCCCCAGUCUGUCUUCUUCUUGGGCCUUGUCUCCCCCUCAAUCUGCCCUUCUCCUGCAGAGCAGAGCAUCACCUGUGCUCCGUCCUGACGUGGACGCCCUCCCUCUCAUCUUACCUCUCCAUGCUCCUGUCCAUCUCCCCUCUCCUCAAUUUCCACAUGUCGUUGGCAUUCCCUAAUCCUUCCUCAUGAGCUCUAUCCUCUGACAUGCCCAAUUUCUUGGCCACUCCCAUCCAUUCUCAUCUAGGGUCCAUCUAUUCCAAACACCACCAUCCACAUGCGGCGUUCCUCGUCUCAGGCACACUCAGGCCCACUCGGGCCACUGCUCCUGUCUCGGCCCCCAGUGCCCGUGGCCAUAAGGCUGUCCGAUCUCCCAGACCUCCCAGCCUCUCCAUCCUGGCCUGCGAUCUCUGGGUCUGCCACUUGCUCCAAAGUGUUGGCUUGUCCGUUCCUUCGCCAUCAGGCCCAUCUUCCUUUCCUCUGGAUUCCAUGCUCCAGAUCUCUUUACUUCUCCCCCCAACCCGCCUUUCAGUCCAGAUCUCUCCUGCUUCCCAAAUCUUCCGUCCGUAGGACCCGUUCUUCUGAACCUCCUUCCACCCCAUCCACACAGUCCACAUUCCUGUCCAGAACGGCCCUUGCCUGGUCCACCUCCAGGCGCCCGUGAGCUUUCUGCUCUGAUGGGCACCUGUGUCUUCUCUCCCUCCGUGCUGGGGCUCUGUGCAGCUUUAAAGCUGGGGCCUUACGGGGCCCUGCUGGUCCCCCAGCUCUGAGAGACCGUGGGGACGCCUGGCAAUGAGGCUCCCCAGUCUUCACAGACAUCACAGGGGCCCUGGUGCAUAAAAGGGCAGAGGCUCUAUCUAGGCCAGAUACUCCAGGCCAGAGGCCAGAGAGUUGGAAGACAGACCCUUCGAGCAUCAGUGACUCUGGUCACAGGCCCAGGGGCUCGAGAACCUCGGCUGUGCCUAAUAUUGGGCGUAAAAGGGAUUUCUUUGUCCCUUAGCUGCCUCAGCUCCACUUCCCAUUCAGCCUGGAAGAAGCCGAGAGGAGAACAUCAUCCGAAGACUCUGUAACAGCCGGAGAAGAACCACGUCCAUCUUCUACAAGGCCUCGGUUUCCACAAAGCGUGACCAGGAGCAUCUCCCUCCCAGGCACUAAGGCUGCCCUCACACAGGAGGCCUCCGUCUGACGAGUCAGAGGAAGGCCUGCACCAUUGCCCUUCUCCAAGAACAUCCAAGAGCCGGUCCUAGCCUCCGUGGGACUGGCCUUCCCGAGGCUCUCCCAGCGAGCACGCGGUCUGCACACUGGACACGGGCUCAGAGGACGGGGUUUUACUUUGAGUACCCAGCUAAUCUCCAGGCUCAGAUUCUCUUCCUCUCAAAGGAAGGAGAGCUGCAUUUCCACGGUCCUCCCUCAUCCGUCAAAGAGUCUAAGAAACAGCAUUAACAGGAGGCAUCGUGAUGAUAAAAGUCUUUCUAAUUAAUUAAUUGAUCCUUUAAUUAAUUAAUUAAUUCUUUUUAAUUCUUCAUCUCAUCUGAUCAUCAGAACUCUCCUCGAUUGUGGAAAGAGUGAUGAUCAUCAUCCUCGUUUUGCAAAAGGAAGGCCUUGACCGAGGACAGUUUGGGGCUUGCCAAAGUCCUCAGCAGGGAAGCAGUGGCCUGAGCAGAGCCUCUGGUGCUGCUCAGACCUCGACCCUCCGACCUCUCCCGCCACGGGCAGGUGUCCCCAGACGGUGUGCUCUGAGAGCCAGGCAUCCUGUGACACUGGUCUGAGACCCUCCCCACAAGUCUCUCCUCUGCCCUUGUAAUCGAGGGGUGGUGGCCCAAGGGCAGGGCCGGAGGAGGGUGGAGGGUAGGUCUGCAGGCCAAGCAGAUCCAGGCUAAGCAGAGGGUGGCGGCUGGUGAGGGUGCGUAAGCCCCUGCCCCGUGGUCUCCCCGCAGCGAUUCCUUGUCCCUUCAGUCACCAGAGGUCAAGCAGAGGAACCCACGUCCAGAUAGACAAACUGCCUUCCUCCAGGUCGGCCGGUCACUCCCAGAGCUGUGCUCGGUCCUGGGCUUUCUGGGGGCUCCUUGAGGGCUCUUGGUACGCUGCUAUGGGGUCAGACCGGUGGCGUCUCCACGCAGAAUGCAGUGUGGGGAAGGGACGGGAUGCUCAGUCUUCGGUCAUCACUGAAAAUGAGAAAACGGAAAGGAUCAAGUGGCCUCGACUUGGAACCACUGAAUGCCCAGAGCGGAAAGAGAUUUUAAAAUAAUUUAAGUUUCAUGUUUAACAUUAUGCAUGAGUUGAAUUUUUACCAUCUGAUCUUAUUACUUUUAUAAAUUAAGAAAAAAACUAGUUUGAAGAUGAAGUCGAUAAUGCUAAGUGCGUGAAUAUUUGCUCUUUAUUUUGUAUAUUUCUGGAGUCUAUAAUUUUUAUCAACCUCUCAUCUGUAAUUACAUAGAUUAGUAAACUCAUGCCCAUAGAAAUUAAAUUACUUACCCAAUAUUACAAAAAUAGACUAACUGCUGUGGUCCGACCAGAAAAAUACAGAAUUUAAAGUCCGGAUGGACCGAGGUUUGAACCCCAGCUCCGUCACUUACUGCCUGACAGUGAGUGCCUCAAGGAACCUUUCGGGGGCUCAGCUUGCCUAUUUCUUUCAGAACUCACAGAAGCAAGAACGCCUGCCUUGUGGGCCCAUCACAAGGCGUCAAUGAGACAAAGAGGAGAAAACCCAGGCAGCCCCGUGCCUGGGUCUCUGUUUCUACAGAGGAGGUUCUUGCUCAGGUCGCUAAUGGCUUCCUCACCAUCAGAUUCACAAGGAUCCCGUCAACUUUCUGCAACAUUUCACACCAAACCCACUUCGCUCUCCAGAACGUUCACUCCCCUGCUGUCCGUGGCGCACGGGCCUCUCCUAUCUCUUGUCCCCUCCUUCUCUGGCCCCUUCCCAGCAUCCCAAAGAGCAGCGGUUAUCAGACCCCCAGUCAGAAUGUCAGCAGCAUUUCACAUCAUUAAAUAGAAGAGACAAGAAAUGGUAGCCAAGGUUAGGACAGGAGGAGGCAGAGCACAGUAGAACAGAAAACCGCAGAAGGCAUCACCUUCUAAUAAGACCCUGUAUUAUUUCCUGAAACGUUGUUCUAGUUAAACGUACAGGUCUUUGUGUAGACAUAUGUGUUCUCGGUUGUAAGAAAAAAUAAAUUGAUUUCCUCUGUGGGUUGUGGUCAAACACACUGCCCUCAA